rnacentral:rRNA from 1 species
CCUGGUGGUUUUGGCGGGGGUUCCCCACCCGAUCCCAUUCCGAACUCGGUCGUUAAGUCCCCCAGCUCCGAUGGUACUGUGCCUUAAGGCACGGGAGAGUAGGUCGCUGCCAGGU